CUUUUCCCACCGGAGCUUGCUCCACCGGGAAAAGAGGAGUGGCGAUACGGGUGAGUAACACGUGGGUAACCUGCCCAUCAGAAGGGGAUAACACUUGGAAACAGGUGCUAAUACCGUAUAACAAUCGAAACCGCAUGGUUUCGUUUUGAAAGGCGCUUUACGGUGCCGCUGAUGGAUGGACCCGCGGUGCAUUAGCUAGUUGGUGAGGUAACGGCUCACCAAGGCCACGAUGCAUAGCCGACCUGAGAGGGUGAUCGGCCACAUUGGGACUGAGACACGGCCCAAACUCCUACGGGAGGCAGCAGUAGGGAAUCUUCGGCAAUGGACGAAAGUCUGACCGAGCAACGCCGCGUGAGUGAAGAAGGUUUUCGGAUCGUAAAACUCUGUUGUUAGAGAAGAACAAGGGUGAGAGUAACUGUUCACCCCUUGACGGUAUCUAACCAGAAAGCCACGGCUAACUACGUGCCAGCAGCCGCGGUAAUACGUAGGUGGCAAGCGUUGUCCGGAUUUAUUGGGCGUAAAGCGAGCGCAGGCGGUUUCUUAAGUCUGAUGUGAAAGCCCCCGGCUCAACCGGGGAGGGUCAUUGGAAACUGGGAGACUUGAGUGCAGAAGAGGAGAGUGGAAUUCCAUGUGUAGCGGUGAAAUGCGUAGAUAUAUGGAGGAACACCAGUGGCGAAGGCGGCUCUCUGGUCUGU
rnacentral:rRNA from 1 species